GUUACUGUAGCUUAACUACAAAGCACGGCAUUGAAGCUGCCGCGAUGGCUCCCAACCCCCAGAAACA
rnacentral:tRNA from 1 species